GCUGGAUGGGGCUUGGGGCAACCUGGGAUAGGGGAAGGUGUCCCUGCUGCCCAUGGCAGGUUGGGAAAAAGGUAGUCUUUAAACCCAACCAUUCCAUGAUUCUGUCCCCAGAGCAGGAGAAACCUCUUCCCUGAUCAGGAAAAGCAGAAAAAUUUUGGUGCUGCCCCCUGAUCCGAGGGCUGUUGCUGGCCCUUCACGGCAAGGACCGUCCUCUCUGGGGACCCCGGCCUGGGCCCCAAACCCUCGGAUUCCUUGGCACUAGAUGGAGCACGUGAGCUUCCAGCAAAGCCAGAGCAGCCCUGGAGAAGGUCCUGCCCUGUCUGAUCAGCUCUGUUCGGCUUUGGUUCGCCAGUCCAGCCCUGCCAGGGAGGUAACUGGGACAGAGGGAGAUGGAGGAGCCUCUUUUUCCCCAGCAGAGCCUUCAGUUCAUGCCUGAGGGCUCAGGUCUGUCUUAUUUCCAUCCUCUCCCUGCCCCUGGCAUCUCCUGCAGCUGGAUGGUUGUUGGCACCUACCAAAGGCAGGUGUGCUGGAGGAGGAAAAGGAAGAGGAAAAGAUCUGAUUGCUGUGGAGCACAUUCCCCAUGCAUGGCAUCAUCCAGAAUGAAGCUGGAAAGGCCUUUUCCUGGUGCAUUUAGAAAGUCACAGGCAUGUUUAGUUUUGGGAGCAGUCAUGCACUUGGCAGUAAGAACAGCAGAUAUGGAUCCUGGAGCAAGGGAAGCUGCGUGGCUGUUGGAUGGGAUCUGCCAGCUGAGUCACACGAGGCACAUCUGACUCAUCACACCAGAGCUGCAUCUGCAGAUGGCCCAGGAUUGCAGGAACUUGGGCAAGGCUGAUUAUCUCCUGCAAAACCUGGGGAGACUGAGGCGUGGAAGUUAAUAGAAUUGGAUCUUCUGGAGGCAAGUUCAUCAAAUGUGGGGUGCACAAAGAAUCCACUCUGGGCUCUGAUUCACCACGUGCCAUGAAUCCAACAAUUCAUCACUGCCUGAAGCUUUCCUGACUUCCCUGGCAUUUGCAGGAAGGUGCAUGGUCACCCUGUGGAAGCAGAUCUCCAGGAAAACCAUCCACCUCAUCCCUGGCGAGCAGAUCCAGGUUGCUCCAGUUUUCCAGCAGGAUUUGCAGUGGGUGGUCACACACUGGACACCUUGGCAGCUUUUUCAGUGCUGCUGUUUGCUGCAGGAUCCACACAUUUUAACCCUUGUAUGGAAAAAUCACACCCUGAUGAAAUCCAGGAUUUGUGCAGCCAAGCUGACCUUGCAAGUACCACCACCCUUUGCAGCUGCCCAGACACAAACCCUGGGUUUCCUGAUCCUCUUCCUCAGCUCUUCAAACCCUCCUUCCUAAACCAGUCCUGAGCCUCCCAAUCCAUUUUUCCCAUACUGGGCAGCUCCCACAGCAGGGUGCCCUUAUCUCUGUGCAUCCCUGUGCCCCAGCCUGCCCCACCUUGCUGAUGCAUCUGCAGCCUCCCCCAGGGCACAGGGGAGGCUGAGUGCAGCCUUUCCCUUCUCCCACCACCCUGUCUUGGUGUGUGGGAGGCUCAGUGCUCCUGGGACGUUGGGAUGAGUCAGUGUUUGCACAUCCUGAGUCACUCCAGGGAGUUGCCAGAGAGGAGGGGGGGAUGCCCAGCCUCAUCUGGGGGUGUAAAUGUCCCAGGAAGUUCUGUCUGAAAGAAAAUUCCCAUUGAGAGGUCACCACCUUGUGGGGCCACCACCAUGGACCACAAGUGUCACCCCAUGAGAAGUUGUUAUUUCCUGGCCCUGCUUCCAUGUGAAUCCUUUCAGAUGGCCCACAGCUGGUUAUUUGGGAGGGGUGCCACAUUUCCAACCCAUGGCUGUCCUUGGAAAUUUCCUGGGACAUGCCCAGAGGUUCCUCUUGGCAGCUCCCUCAGAGCAGGUUUGUGGAAGCAGGGCAUGCACCAGCCAGGGAGGCCAUGGAGGAAUGCCAGGCAAGUUCUCUAAGCAGGGCUUUUGAGGAGAAUGAAUUCCCAGUCCUCCCACUGAUUGCAAUUUUUAUCACUAUUUUGGGGCUUUUUUGAGCUAGAGAUGCUCCUGAGCUCAUGGAGGCUUUGGGAGUGGAUUGGCUCAGGAGUCCAUCCCUGGUUUAAGAUUUAAAAGGGUAACACCCUCCCUGACACCCACAGGCCCCUUGUUUUCCUCUGUGCCUAGAUGAACCCCAGAGAACACCACAGGAUACUUCAGAUACACACCCAGGCUUUAGAUUUUUACCUCCAUUUCCAGCUGGAAUGGGAUGAAUUCCCAGGUCAAGAAGAGCUGGAAGAACCACCCCAGGAUUUUCUGUUCUCAGAGUCCCUGCCUUUGACAUGAACUGAAUUUUCUGUGCUUGCUCAGAGCAGAGGCUGAGCAGGGAGUGAGGCCAGAAAAACAGGGGGUCAUGUCAGACUUUCUUUUUCUCUCAUCUUAACACUGAAAUAAAAAUACAUCUCGAGCUUGUUUUGGGAUUAACAAGAAAAAAAUUCCCCUUGAUGGGAACCAUCUGUGGCCGGGAGAUGCCGGCUGCUCUCUGCUUCCCACCCUCACCCAGACUCCCUCAUUCGGGGUGUGUUCCUCUCCCAAAUAUUAUUCCUCUCAUCCCUGUGCUGCUGGGAGGAAUCCCAACUAUUCAAGGAGGCUUUUCUCCCAGCAUUUCAAAGCAGCAGCAGCUGCUGACACCUCUGGAGGAUAAUAUUUGCUCUCCUCAUUACAGCCCAGCUUGCUGGUGGCUGCUGGGCUCGGAGGGGAAGCACUGCCAAGUGUCUUGGGUGUGACCUUUCCAGGCCAGACGUCACCUCAGGGUCACAGCAAACACCUCGAGGCCUCUCUGGCCUGUCCCACAAAGCAGGAGGGGAAAUCUGCCCUGAGGAGUGGGGAUUCCCUGGCUCUGCCUCUGCUGUGCUGCUGGAAAUGAGGGCGUUGGUGCUGGUCCCUGCAUGGGGUCAAAGAAUGAGGACAUUUUUGGGGUGGACCUUGGCCCCAGCUGAGGUUUUGGAGUGGGAAAUGCAACUUCUGGGCUGGGUUGGCAGCAGGAGGAUGAAGAGGUGCAUUUGCAGCAUCAGAAACUCCAGAGAGCUUUGGAGCAGGGAGAGGCCUCCAAGGCCAGGAAGAGGAGAGGAAGCUGAAGGUAAAUCCAGCAGAACCCAGGGCAGGCCUGGCCCAGGAGCAAAGGCUGGAAGGGUUUCUCUGCUCUCCAUGCAGCUGAGGAGGCUGCCUGGCUGGAAUGUCUCCUCCUGGGACCAGGUGGAGCAGGAAGCUGGAGCAAGACGAGCCCAACAGGUUCUGGGCUGUGAAACCUCCUGGAUGGCAGCACAUCCCUGGCCUGGGACCCAGGAGCUGAACUGAAAUGGACCAAAUGAGCAUUUUGGGGGCUUUCCCAAACCUGGUGGGAUGAAGGAUUUUUGUGUGGGCUUUGACAUCUUCAGAGUGCUCCAGGCCUGGCUUGGGAGGUGGUUUGGAUUCAUUUGGAGAAAGGCGGGCAGGACAUUCAGGCCUUGCUUACCCUCACCUCUCCUCCAUGGAGCCCAGCACGAAGCAUCACCUGCUGGUGGAUUCUGUCCUCCAGCAGAUGAGGGCAGAAUGCUUUCCAUCUUUGAGGCUGGAAAAUCCAUCCCCAGACAGGGGCUUGUCCCUGCAGCUGGGGGUGCAGCCCACACACCCAUCCCAGCAAUGUGGGGUGUUCUGGGGCUGCUUUGCCCAGCCCUGCUCUCACCACAGGCUGGGAGCAGGCCUGGCUGCUCUCAGAAUAUUCCAUGGAUCUCUGAAUCCGUGGCUGUUGUAAGCUGCUCACCUGGUGUUGUGCAAGGAGGAUUCAUCUUUCCAAGUGAACAAAUCCCUCCUGGGCCAAAGACACCCCAAAAUGGCUUUAACAGAGAAAGGUGUUUGUGUACAGUUACUGAUGCUUGGAAAGCUGAGUGCAGGUGCUGGGCUUCACCCAUCAAAAAGCAAUUUACAGAUUAAACUUGUAGAAAUUUAAAUAAACUGCUGGAA